GCACCCUUUUUUGUUUUGUUUUCCUGUGCAAGACCCACACCCUGACCGUAAUCCCCUGACCGUGACCCCCUGACCGUGACCCCCUGACCCUAAUCCUUCGCCCUAAUCCCCUCGCCCUAAUCCCCUCGCCCUAAUCCCCUUGCCCUAAUCCCCUCGCCCUAAUCCACUCGCCCUAAUCCACUCGCCCUAACCCACUCGCCCUAAUCCACUUGCCCUAAUCCACUCGCCCUAAUCCACUCGCCCUAAUCCCCACGCCCAAACUGUUUUCCUGUGCAAGACCCACACCCUGACCGUAAUCCCCUGACCGUAAUCCCCUGACCCUAUUCCCCUGACCCUAAUCCCCUCGCCCUAAUCCCCUGACCCUAAUCCCCUCACCCUCAUCCCCUCACCCUCAUCCCCUCGCCCUAAUCCCCUCGCCCUAAUCCCCUCGCCCUAAUCCCCUCGCCCCAA